rnacentral:rRNA from 1 species
AAUAGAUACCCGGGUAGUCCACGCCGUAAACGAUGGAUGCUAGCUGUUAGGAGUAUCGACCCUCCUAGUAGCGUAGCUAACGCGUUAAGCAUCCCGCCUGUGGAGUACGGUCGCAAGACUAAAACAUAAAGGAAUUGACGGGGACCCGCACAAGCGGUGGAGCGUGUUGUUUAAUUCGAUGGUAAGCGAAGAACCUUACCCAGGCUUGACAUCCUGCUAAUCACUCCGAAAGGAGAGAGUGCCUUCGGGCCGCAGUGACAGGUGUUGCAUGGCCGUCGUCAGCUCGUGUCGUGAGAUGUUUGGUUAAGUCCAUCAACGAGCGCAACCCUUAUAGUUAGUUGUAUUUCUCUAGCUAGACUGCCCUGGUAACAGGGAGGAAGGGGGGAUGAUGUCAGGUCAGUAUUACCCUUACGCCUGGGGCUACAAACACGCUACAAUGGCCGGUACAAAGGGCUGCCAACCCGCGAGGGGGAGCAAAUCCCAUCAAAGCCGGUCUCAGUUCGGAUUGCAGGCUGAAACCCGCCUGCAUGAAG